rnacentral:rRNA from 1 species
UACGUAGGGCGCAAGCGUUGUCCGGAAUUAUUGGGCGUAAAGAGCUCGUAGGCGGUUUGUCGCGUCUGCUGUGAAAACCUGAGGCUCAACCUCGGGCUUGCAGUGGGUACGGGUAGACUAGAGUGCGGUAGGGGUGACUGGAAUUCCUGGUGUAGCGGUGGAAUGCGCAGAUAUCAGGAGGAACACCGAUGGCGAAGGCAGGUCACUGGGCCGCAACUGACGCUGAGGAGCGAAAGCAUGGGGAGCGAACAGG